rnacentral:rRNA from 1 species
UACAUGUGGGGCAAGCGUUGUUCGGAAUUACUGGGCAUAAAGGGUGCGUAGGCGGCUUGUUAAGUCAGGGGUGAAAGUUUUCGGCCCAACCGGAAAAUUGCCUUUGAUACUGGCGAGCUGGAGUGCGUGAGGGGUGACCGGAACGAGUGGUGUAGCGGUGAAAUGCGUAGAUAUCACUCGGAAGGCCAACGGCGAAGGCAGGUCACUGGUGCGCAACUGACGCUGAGGCACGAAAGCGUGGGGAGCAAACAGGA